rnacentral:rRNA from 1 species
UACGAAGGGUGCAAGCGUUACUCGGAAUUACUGGGCGUAAAGCGCGUGUAGGCGGCUUUGCAAGUCGGAUGUGAAAGCCCACGGCUCAACCGUGGAAGUGCAUCCGAAACUGCAUGGCUGGAGUCUCGGAGAGGAAGGUGGAAUGCUUGGUGUAGAGGUGAAAUUCGUAGAUAUCAAGCAGAACACCUGCGGCGAAGGCGGCCUUCUGGACGAUGACUGACGCUGAGACGCGAAAGCGUGGGGAGCAAACAGG